GACGAACGCUGGCGGCGUGCCUAAUACAUGCAAGUCGAACGCUUCUUACCUCCCGAGUGCUUGCACUCAAUUGGAAAGAGGAGUGGCGGACGGGUGAGUAACACGUGGGUAACCUACCCAUCAGAGGGGGAUAACACUUGGAAACAGGUGCUAAUACCGCAUAACAGUUUAUGCCGCAUGGCAUAAGAGUGAAAGGCGCUUUCGGGUGUCGUUGAUGGAUGGACCCGCGGUGCAUUAGCUAGUUGGUGAGGUAACGGCUCACCAAGGCCACGAUGCAUAGCCGACCUGAGAGGGUGAUCGGCCACACUGGGACUGAGACACGGCCCAGACUCCUACGGGAGGCAGCAGUAGGGAAUCUUCGGCAAUGGACGAAAGUCUGACCGAGCAACGCCGCGUGAGUGAAAAGGUUUUCGGAUCGUAAAACUCUGUUGUUAGAGAAGAACAAGGACGUUAGUAACUGAACGUCCCCUGACGGUAUCUAACCAGAAAGCCACGGCUAACUACGUG
rnacentral:rRNA from 1 species